rnacentral:rRNA from 1 species
AUUGAACGCUGGCGGCAGGCCUAAUACAUGCAAGUAGGACGCAGUUGCGAACGGGUGAGUAACGCGUAGGUAACUACCUAUUAGAGGGGGAUAACUAUUGGAAACGAUAGCUAAUACCGCAUACUAGUAGAUGGACCUGCGUUGUAUUAGCUAGUAGGUAGGGGAAUGGCCUACCUAGGCAACGAUACAUAGCCGACCUGGGAGGGGUGUUGGGCACACUGGGACUGGGGACAUGGCCAGACCCCCUCCGGGGGGAAGCGGUGGGAAUCUUUGGCCAUGGGGGGAAACCUGAACGAGCAAAGGCGCGUGAGUGAAGAAGGUUUUCGGAUCGUAAAGCUCUGUUGGUAAGGAAGCGGUACUUACCCAGAAAGGGACGGCUAACUACGUGCCAGCAGCCGCGGUAAUAC